UCAUAGAUGUGAUCAUGACUGCUGCAUGGAUUCCAGCCACUGUCAAGCGUGUUCUAGGAAAUUGAGGCAGUUCUGCUCAGAAGCUUCCAUCUUUGCACCUUAAGUCCAAAAGCAACUCUUAAUGUGAGGCCUUGUGAAAUCUCAUAUAGCUUAGCAUCAUCAUGUCCCUGAGCCUAUCCAUUCUUGAAAUGUCUCUGGGAUAUAGUCUAACCACUACUGAAAGUCUUUUUUCUGGACCAUUAUGUCUCACAAAUAUUAUGUCUCACAAAUUUCUGAUGGCAGUUAGCUCAUAUCAGAGGUUCUAAAGACUGCUGAACAGUACCACUUGGCAUCAGGGAUACCACGUGUGUCCACAUCUGUAGUGGAAGUGGAGUCAGCCAUACCCAACCAUAUCAAAUGGGUUCUCCAAAGGAAAGCAGAUUUUGUUACCAGAAAGAGGAAAAUUUGCCGAGCGACCCCCAACAGAGAUACCCUUCCACCAUGGUCCCCCAGAAGCCAUGAAGAUUGUUAAUUCCUGUCCUCAAAGAGUUUAAGACUAAUGGUGGGAAACAUUGGCACAACUACCUACCAAUAGUCUCCAGAUUCCAUUUGGGAGAAAGCAAGGACCCCAUCUUUGAAGCCAGCAAGGAAUGGGAGAUGGAGAAGCCCCUGGCACAACUCCCACCUGGUUGGAGCCCUGAUUGAAAUUGUUGCACGUGAGGCUCCAUUCAUUCUUCCAUGUUUU
rnacentral:lncRNA from 1 species